UACGGAGGGUGCAAACGUUGCUCGGAAUCAUUGGGCGUAAAGCGCACGUAGGCGGCCUGAUAAGUCGGGUGUGAAAGCCCUGGGCUCAACCCAGGAAGUGCACUCGAAACUGUCAGGCUUGAAUAUGGAAGAGGGUCGCGGAAUUCCCGGUGUAGAGGUGAAAUUCGUAGAUAUCGGGAGGAACACCAGUGGCGAAGGCGGCGACCUGGGCCAAUAUUGGACGCUGAGGUGCGAAAGCUAGGGGAGCAAACGG
rnacentral:rRNA from 1 species